rnacentral:rRNA from 1 species
UACGUAGGGGGCAAGCGUUAUCCGGAUUUACUGGGUGUAAAGGGAGCGUAGACGGCGAUGCAAGCCAGAUGUGAAAGCCCGGGGCUCAACCCCGGGACUGCAUUUGGGACUGUGUGGCUGGAGUGUCGGAGAGGCAAGUGGAAUUCCUAGUGUAGCGGUGAAAUGCGUAGAUAUUAGGAGGAACACCAGUGGCGAAGGCGGCUUGCUGGACGAUGACUGACGUUGAGGCUCGAAAGCGUGGGGAGCAAACAGG